UUCAAAUAUUCAAUUCCAGUGAAUCAAGAUAAUCUGCAAUGAAAAAGUGCAGUGACCUGUUAAAUAUAGGCUAAAUUAAAAACAAAAGUUUUAGAAUUCUAUCAUAAUUUUAAACAUUAAUGCAGGGGUCUCCGAUCUCUGUCCUGGAGAGUUUCAACUUGCCUCAACACACCUCUCUGGAGGUUUCAAGUAUACCUAGUAAGAGUUUAAUUAGCUGGUUCAGGUGUGUUGGAUUAUGUUGGAGCUAAACUCUAUAGGACCCUGCCCUAGCAGGCUGAGCAAGAGAGUGUUGAAAAAGACAUUCAGAAUCAGGUUCUGUUACAGAAGUGUGAGACAAAAUUUGAAGACUUGUGAGAAAAAAACAAAAAAAAAAAAACUUGGCAGACAACAGUUUAAAAUAAGGCAUCUUUUUUCCAAGAUGGUGGAAUUUAAUGAAAUGUUUGGGUUUCAGUCCAUCUGAGGAAUUCGCAAAGUUACUCCCCGACAGGCAAUCAAAUCACUCUCGCCGUCGGGUUGUCCUUCCUUUAUAAGCCCAACCGAACGACAGACGGAUGGACGGGCACAUAAACAUGCACAUUUUUGCAUGACAAGGUUGGCACCUUGGUGAUGCGUAGGACAACCAGUAUGGCACAGUAAUUGGCUGUGCGUCGUGACAUCGACUCGGCUGCUACUCAAAGAGAGAACCAAACACCCACACAAUUUCUCGAAUCAAACACAGAACACGAUGGAGAUCAGCUCAGGUUCAGACUCAUGAGAGGACACUGACAGAUCAUGAUUACACACCUGAUUGUCCCUGUGCUUCAGUCACCCAUAAAUCCAGUGUGAUGUCUUUCCUGCACUGUGACUGCUCUUCCCAUGCUGUAGAGACAAACGGUGUCUGAAACCUGGAAAAAUCAAGCCUACACCAUGAAGAGCAGGGUAGCCAUGCAAGAUGGCAAAAAAGAAGUCAUUAGAUGUGACAUCUACCAGAUCCACUAGAGCGCAUUCAGGCCUGAUAAAGAAUCCAACCAAAUACAGAAGCUUUGGAGAAGACUUCUUUACAGAGGUACUUAGCAAAUCACUUGAGAGCGCCGCGGACAAGCAAUAGAGCUUUCUCUUCAUAAAACUUUCUCACAAACACUGAAAAUGUAAGGGUAAAGAGGAUGAUCCCACUGAGCGUGUGGACUGGGUAUUUUCCUUCUGAUGUGAAGAACUGGGACAGCAAUGCAGAACCGGCUCAGAUGUAGUGUCUGUGCAUGCUGGAGAAAAUGCAAGUUGCCAUAAUUGUUUUCGAGUGCAGGUGAGAGCGGCUCAAGAGAUUUCUUUAUUUGGGUUGAGCUGAACAAUAUCAAAAACAGAUAUCAAACCCCUUUUGCUUAAAUCAGGGGAGACAAAGACAGUCAGCAAAAUUAUCAUUGGCACUUUAAACGUGUUUCUGUCCACGCUAAACACAAAGACCCAUGUGGUUUCUAACUAAUGUUAAAGUUAGCAUUGCUUUGUUUUUAGCUCCAAGACUUUGAUGGAAGUAUUUUCUGAUUUCAUUUUUUGGUUUACACUCUACACAACUUUAUGCACAUUAUGUACAUGAAUGGAAAUGGUCCUAAUUUUGCAUUCUUGAAUUCAUGCAUUUUGAAAUG